rnacentral:rRNA from 1 species
CCAAUAGCGUAUAUUAAAGUUGUUGCAGUUAAAAAGCUCGUAGUUGAAUUUCGGGAUCAAUAUGUCGGUCGUGCCUUCGGUACGUACUGGCAUCAUUGGUUUCUCCCUUCUGACAAACCAUGAUGUCAUUAAUUUGGUGUUAUGGGGAGUUAGGACUGUUACUUUGAAAAAAUUAGAGUGUUUAAAGCAGGCAUUAGCUUGAAUACAUUAGCAUGGAAUAAUGAAAUAGGACGUUCGAUCCUAUUUUGUUGGUUUCUAGGAUCAACGUAAUGAUUAAUAGGGAUAGUUGGGGGCAUUAGUAUUCAAUUGUCAGAGGUGAAAUUCUUGGAUUUAUUGAAGACUAACUACUGCGAAAGCAUUUGCCAAGGAUGUUUUCAUUAAUCAAGAACGAAAGUUAGGGGAUCGAAGACGAUCAGAUACCGUCGUAGUCUUAACCAUAAACUAUGCCGACUAGGGAUCGGAUGAUGUUAAUUUUUUAAUGACUCAUUCGGCGCCUUACG